CCCAAUAAAACCUCUUGCUUUGUCAGCACAUGUGUCUCCUCGGACAAUUCAUUUCUGAGUGUCAGACAAGAGCCCAGUUUCGGGCCCUGGAAGGGGUCCCCCUUCCUGCAACAAUACAAGCAUCUGUCUUCCCAACAGUUUGUAGCCAACACCAGAACCUUCUGCAGGAUUUUGCUCUGCUCUUGAACGAGAGCUAGCACCUGCUCCCAGGCCCAUCUGGCUUGGGGAAUUAGUAGUUGACUGUACAGGGUGAUGGGGCUGGGGCUGCAUGGGUCCUCUGUCAGAAACAUUACUCUCCAAUCCCACAAGGGGAAAGACGUUCAUUGCACAUCUGCACACAUUCAUUCAGAGCCUAUUUAUUGACCUUCUGCCACCAGGACAUGCCAGGGCACAAAGCUCAUGAAGCUUCAGAUCUGGUGACGGACUGAUGACUAACAAACCAGGCACAUUGCAUGUUCCCAGGACACACUACAGAAGCUGUAUCCAUAGUAGGGCUAACUAACUCAGACCUGUCCCUAGGGGGAAGAUUCUAGCAAACCUUCCCAAAGUAAAUGAUGCCUAAGAAGUUAUUUAGGCUAAGGUAAGGAGGGAAGAAGUGUCUGAGAGUGUAAAUGUAUGCAAAUGCAGAGGCGAGGGUGGGAGUGGAGUGUGUGUGCGGCUGUGAUGGUGGGGUUGUUUUUAUUUUUUAUUUUUAUUUCUUGGCCACACUAUAUGGCAUGCAGGAUCUUGGUUCCUGGACCAGGGAUUGAACCCACGCCCCCUGCGGUAGCAGGGAAGAAUCUUAACCACCAGACUGCUAGGGAUGGCCCUGUGGGGUUGUAUUUUAAAUAAGGCAGGAAGCCCAGGGGCUGGAAUGUUGAGUGAUGGGAGGGGCAGGAGAUGCAGUCUGAGAGGAAAGGGGGUGGAUCUUGCCUCAAGUUUCACUAGCCUCCGGAAAGAGUUUGGAUUUUGUGCCCAGGGCAGUGGCAGGUUCCUGGAGUUGGAGAGCAUCAAGUUGAGAUUUCCAUUUUGGAAAGCUCACUUCCACUGCAGUGAGGAGCCCCUUCCCGAGGCGGGCGAGGCUGGAGGACCAGACACUGGACCCGGUGAGAUGUGGGUUAUUACUAUCCCUACUUUUGCAAAUGAGACAGAAGCUCCAGGACAGUAAAAGAUGGGGCAGGCCGAAGAUUACAUGACCAGAUAAUGGCAGAGGCAGACCAGGGCACCUGUCAGCAAUAGCUGCAACAACAGCAGUCCUUUGGACUCUUCCUGAGACUCGGCACCUACAGUCCAGCUGACUGACUUCACCACCUCCUGCUUAAAUGCUCCUGAUGGGAGAAGCAGUUGGAUCACAUGCAUGAGCUGACCAAUGAAUAAAGGGCAAGGGACCAUUUUGAAGUAGCAGCCUCCUUGACCUAAAGAAAUCUUGAAGCUAACCCAGGCAGAGAAAUGGUAGAUAUCUCCAAGCUCAAGGGCAAUAGACCCACAGGACACCUUGCCAUCAGACCAGCUUCUGAAUUGUCUUUUUUCGGUACUCUUCAGAGCCAGAGGCAAGUUAUUUAAUGACUUUGCAGAAGUAGCAAGAUAUUGGUACUGUCGUUAAGUCGCUAAGUCAUGUCUGACUCUUUGUGACCCUGUGGACUAUAGCCCCAGGCUCCUCUGUCCAUGGGAUUUCCCAGGCAAGAAUACUGGAGGGGGUUGCCUUUUGUAGCAAGAUGAGGUGGUAGGAAAAGAUAAGGGACUUGGGAUUGUAAGAGCCUUACAAUGAACUGAUUUCCUGCCCUGCUUCUUUCCUGGUGUCAUGACCAUAUUCUUUGAGUUAAAAGUAAUAUUUUGAGGACUUUCCUGGUGGUCCAGUGGUUAAGAAUCCACCUGCCAAUGUGGGAGACAUGGGUUCGAUUCCCAGGUCCAGGGAUAUCCCACUUGCCAAGGAACAACUAAGCCUGUGCUCCACAACUACCGAAACCCACAUACCUGAAGUCUGUGCUCCACAAAAAAAAAAGCCAUUACAAUGAGAGGCCUGCUUCCAGCAAUGAAGAGCAGCCCCUGCUCACUGCAAGUGGAGAAAGCCUGCCAGCAGCAACAAAGACCCAGUGCAGCCAAAAAUAAAUAGUUUUAAAAAUUAAUAUUUUUAUUAAGUGACAGGCAGUUGGGACUUUUUUAUUUUUCUUGGCUAUGACAAAAACAUAGGAAAGAAACAAUAGCUGGAAGGCCCAGGAGCAGGAAGAAUAGCUUAGGUACAAAAGUCAGGAGCUUGGGUUACAGGGAAGGAAUUAGAAGGGGAGGCUGUGCUGUACAGAUCCCUCUGAGAGCCACCCGCAGAUACAGUGACUUCCUCUCAGGGAAUUUCAUCUCUCUCAUCUUGAGAUUCCUUAUCUGUAGAUGGGGCUAAUUCUCCCACGUUGCAGAGUUCUGGCUCUAGAGAGAAUGUCUGGCUAGCAGUAGCCAUUUAAUGAAUGAGAAAUAUGUCCAUCAUCAAUAUACUUUUGUCUGUUGGAUUCCCUUCCUGCCCUUCUUGCUUCCAAAGCUGAACUGGCUGUGAAUCAAUAGGAAAUCGGGCAGGACAAGUGUUACCAUGUGUGAUGGUUUAUGUUAUGUGUCAAGUUGACUGGGCCACAGGGUGCCCAGACAUUUGGUCGGAUGUUGUUCUAGAUAUAUCUGUGAGGCUGUUUCUGGAUGAGGACUAACAUUUGAACCAGUAAUCUGUGCAAAGCAGAUGCCUUCCCUGAUGUGGUUGGCCUCAUCCAAUCAAACAACAAUCUAUGUAGAACAAAAAGGCUGAGUAAGAGGGGACUAUUGUUGUUUUAUUGGCUUGAACCGGGACAUCAGUCUUUUCCUUUCUUUAGACUCAAACUGGAACAUCUCUCUUCUUGGGUCUCCAGUUUGCAGGCUUUCGGAAUUUGCUCCAUUGUCUCUCCUGAUUCUCAGGCCUUUGGACUUGGACUAGGACCACAUCAUGGGCAAUCCUUCAUCUCCAACCUCUUGACUGACAAUCUUGGAACUUCUCAGCCACUAUCACUGUGUGAGCCAAGCCCUUAUAAUUAAUAAAGAAAACAUAUCUAGUUCUCUUUCUCUGAAGAAUCCUGUCUAGUACAAUAUUUGGGGCUCAGAUUUUAGAGGACAGGCCCAGAGGAGGACCUGCAGAGCCAGGGGAGGCCUUCCACUCCAGGAAGGAGGAGCCCACCUACAGAAGCCAAGAGCAGGCACCACAGGAAGAACGGGAAACUUUGCCCCUCGCCUUGUUUGCCCUCUUUAACUGCCAGAGACAGUCUGAGCUGGUCUGGCUCCUGUGUGUGUUCUAGAAGUGGUCCCUGUUUGGCUGAGCCAGGAGGGACCUUAACAUCAGAUCAGAUCAGUCACUCAGUCGUGUCCGACUCUUUGCGACCCCAUAAAUCACAGCACGCCAACAUAAGAACUGGUAAGAUGAAGCACACCACUCUGAGUGUGCUCUGAACACCUUGCACAUAAUAGAACUAUAAUCUUGCAGCAUCCCAUUAUAUUUUGACAACAUGCCUGUCUCUCUCACUGGUCUGUGAGCUCUGUGUGAAGAGGGAUUGAUUCAGGUUCAUCCCAGUUCCCUCACAGCCCAGCUUAGGACCUGACACCAAGCUUGGCUCACGGUGGACCCUUUUGUAACUCUUACUGUAGAUAAGCAUUUGGGUGAUGGAAACACUUCAUUCUUUCCUUCUUUCCCAUACAUUUGUCUCAUCUAUUUCUCAGAUGUAAAGGAUUUUGAACCAAGUAGUCUUUGGGGGGACCAGGAUGGGCUAGCCUGUGUUGCAGUAACAGCCUACUUUAAAAUCUCAGUAACUUAACACAAGUUAAUUUCUGACUCAUGCAAAGUUCCCUGUGGUUCUGGGCAGCUCUCCAGAACAGCUGCUCUGCAUACAGCAGCUCAGCAAGCCCAGACUCCUGUGAUUUGGAGUCUCCAUCAUCUCAGCCGGGGAAGGGCAGGCGCUCGUGGACAGCACACACUCCACACACUUUCUCGGCUGUGUCUCGGCCCAGUUAUGCAAGUGUUACAUCCCCUCAGAGCCAAGGGGCCAGAUCUACUCCUGCAGCCACACCUACCUAACCGCACACUUGUUAGGAUGAGUGGUUUUCUGUGUGCCCAGGACGGGGGAGACCUGGAUACUGAUGUGUACUAAUUGUACCUUGAUUUGUUGUUGUUUAGCUAAGUCAUGUCCGACUCUGCGAUCCUUUUGACUACAGCCUGCCAGGCUCCUCUGUCUAUGGGAUUUUCCAGGCAAGAAUACUGGAGUAGAUUGCCAUUUCUUUCCCCAGGGGAUCGUCCUGACCCAGGGAUCUAUCCUGUGUCUCCUGCAUGUCCUGCACUGGCAGGAGGAUUCUUUACCACUGAGCCACCAGGAAAGCCCUCUAAUCAUACCCACCAAGCUAAAAUGUAGGGCAGCCUGAAUUAAAAGUGAGAAAACUACCAUAAUUUAUGUUCUUGUUUUGAUUCAUCCAGUCAUUUAUUUAUUCAUUCAACAAUUACUAAUUAAGCACCUCCUAGAUGUUAAGCAUUUUUCUAUGAACUGGAGCAUAGCAGUGAGUAAGACAAAGUCUCCGACAUUACGAGCUUACAUUCUAAUGGAGAGAGACAUCCAAAUAGGCAUAUAAACUCUCAGAGGGUUAUAUGUGCUAUAAAAGAAAAUAAAAAAGAAUAAAAGGCUAUAGAGAGAUGGAGGAAGUUGCUGUUUGGGAUGCAGUGUUAGAGGAAGUUUUUGUUGCUAAGAGAUUUGGUGAAGUGAGGGGGACAAACCAGUACAUGGAGGGAGGGGAGGCAGUAUUAUGGGCAGAAGUAAGAUUCAAUGCCAUGGUCAGUUCCUUCAUCUAGAUCAUUCAUUUAGCAAACAUUUAUUGAGCUCUCCUCACUAAGCCAGGCCCUUUCUUAGAGAGCUGGUGAUUUAAAUAUGAAUGAAACCCAGACAGUGGCCUCCAGCAGUCCAGUCCAGUAGGGCAGAUGGAUUUGCAAACAAGUACAAUGAGAAGGUGGGGGCUUUCCUGAUGGCCCAGUGGUAAAAAAUCUGCCUGCCAAUUCAGGGACACAGGUUCAAUCCCUGGUCCAGGAAGAUUCCUCAUUCCACAGGGCAACUAACCCUGAGUGCUACAAAUACUGAACCCUCAUUUCUAGAGCCCCUGAUCCACAAAAAGAGAAGCUACCACAAUGAGAAGCCUGUGUACUACAACUAGAGCAUAGCUCCAACUCACUGCAACUAGAGAAAGCCUACGCAUAGCAAUGAAGACCCACUGCUGCUGCUAAGUUACUUCAGUCGUGUCCGACUCUGUGCG